UGGGGAAUUUUGGACAAUGGGCGAAAGCCUGAUCCAGCAAUGCCGCGUGUGUGAAGAAGGCCUUCGGGUUGUAAAGCACUUUUGUCCGGAAAGAAAUCCUUGGCUCUAAUACAGUCGGGGGAUGACGGUACCGGAAGAAUAAGCACCGGCUAACUACGUGCCAGCAGCCGCGGUAAUACGUAGGGUGCAAGCGUUAAUCGGAAUUACUGGGCGUAAAGCGUGCGCAGGCGGUUUGCUAAGACCGAUGUGAAAUCCCCGGGCUCAACCUGGGAACUGCAUUGGUGACUGGCAGGCUAGAGUAUGGCAGAGGGGGGUAGAAUUCCACGUGUAGCAGUGAAAUGCGUAGAGAUGUGGAGGAAUACCGAUGGCGAAGGCAGCCCCCUGGGCCAAUACUGACGCUCAUGCACGAAAGCGUGGGGAGCAAAGCAGGAUUAGAUACCCUGGUAGUCCACGCCCUAAACGAUGUCAACUAGUUGUUGGGGAUUCAUUUCCUUAGUAACGUAGCUAACGCGUGAAGUUGACCGCCUGGGGGAGUACGGUCGCAAGAUUAAAACUCAAAGGAAUUGACGGGGUCAUAGCUGUUUCCU
rnacentral:rRNA from 1 species